GGUAGGUCUUUUCUUCUGCUGAGAUCUCCAUGCCUCCAUUAAUUUAUACAGCAUUUAAAAUACUGUGUAAAGAAUGGAUAAUCCAAUUGGGGGUCCAAUAUAUUACCAUUGUUCUUCUGUGCAAAGUAUCUUCCAUGGUAUCAUCGGGUUAUCCAGAUGUGAUAAGAAGCCAGUCUGCUUGCUGACAUAUUGUAAUUAUAAAUUUGCAACAUUUAAAUAAUGCUUGUCUAAUUCUCAAAUCCUCAUAAACUGAUUUACAUUUUCCCUGUAAACUUCUAGUUUUCCCUCCCCUUCCUCAGUCUUGGUGUCAAAUGUGAACAUAAUUAAUGUUUUUUUCUACUUCUGCUUCUAGAUAACUGCUGAAAAUGUUAAACAAACCAGAGCUCUGGCAGGACCCUGCUAGACGCUUCAUCCAAACAUAUCAUCUUACAACUCUGAUAAAAGGAUCUGCUGGAUUUUCUUUUGGCUGAGAUAAUACAUUUGUAUUCAUUGCAACUGAUGUUAAUUAUGGAUCUGCGUAACUGAUACAAACCUCAAUGACACCUUGAGUAAGUUUUGAGCAAUCACACCUUACUUUGUGUUGCAAUGGCCUGGAAGCAUUGUAUUGCUGUGACUCAGCAGAAGGCAGAGGACCUUUUUGCUCAGAAGUUCCCUCCAUGAAAGUCCUCAUUUCUUAUGGAAGGUCUCAUUAUCCCAGUGGAGAUGGUGUGCCCCAGCCAGCUGCAGGCAGAAGAGAGCAUGCAUGGAUGCUGUUUCUCAGAGAAAUCUGGUAGGAGAGGAUUUUCUGGAAAAUGCCUCCAAAAAGGUGGUAAUGUCCCACCGAGACAAACAAGAGCCCAUACAUUGGAGCGAGAUACAGGACAGAGAGACCCCAAAGUUCCACAUCUCCUCAGUCACGAAUGCUGUGUUGCCAGGGCAUGGGCUCUGCCCAUCCUGGUAGGCUCAGAGCUAUGGUGGGUUGUGAAAAUCAAGAGCAAACAGCGAGGAAAGACAAGUCUUGUCAGUCUGGAGAAUGAGUUGGUUGAACCACCAGGCCCCGGAUCUAUGGCAGCGGAAGCAACAUUGGAAUUGUGUCUUGCUGCGUGCUAG
rnacentral:lncRNA from 1 species